rnacentral:rRNA from 1 species
UACGUAGGGUGCAAGCGUUAAUCGGAAUUACUGGGCGUAAAGCGUGCGCAGGCGGUUAUGUAAGACAGGUGUGAAAUCCCAGGGCUUAACCUUGGAACUGCAUUUGUGACUGCAUAGCUAGAGUACGGUAGAGGGGGAUGGAAUUCCGCGUGUAGCAGUGAAAUGCGUAGAUAUCAGGAGGAAUACCGAUGGCGAAGGCAGGUCUCUGGGCUAUAACUGACGCUCAUGCACGAAAGCGUGGGGAGCAAACAGG